ACUGCAGGACACAUUUGAACAUCGACAUUUCGAACGCACAUUGCGGUCCGUGGAGAAACAUCCAGGACCACUCCUGUCUGAGGGCC
rnacentral:rRNA from 1 species